rnacentral:rRNA from 1 species
AACCUGGCGGGCGCUUAUGCUGCAGUCGAGCGAAGCUUUUCAGUAGUUUACUACAGAAAAUGACUGAGCGGCGAACGGGUGAGUAACGCGUGAGCAAUCUACCUUAGUUACAGGGAUAGCCCGAGGAAACUCGGAUUAAUACCUGAUAUUCUUUAUUUCUCGCAUGAGAAUAAAAGGAAAGGUCAGCCGAACUAAGAUGAGCUCGCGUUCUAUCAGCUAGUUGGUGAGGUAAAAGCUCACCAAGGCUACGACGGAUAGCUGGUCUGAGAGGACGAUCAGCCACACUGGGACUGAGACACGGCCCAGACUCCUACGGGAGGCUGCAGCAGGGAAUAUUGCGCAAUGAGCGAAAGCUUGACGCAGCGACACCGCGUGUGGGAUGACGGAUCUAGGUUUGUAAACCACUUUCAGGAGGGAAGAAAAUGACGGUACCUCCACAAGAAGCCCCGGCCAACUACGUGCCAGCAGCCGCGGUAAUACGUAGGGGGCGAGCGUUGUCCGGAUUUAUUGGGCGUAAAGAGCUCGUAGGCGGUUCAACAAGUCGGUCGUGAAAGUUCAGGGCUCAACCCUGAAAUGUCGAUCGAUACUGUCGUGACUAGGAUACGGUAGAGGGUGAGUGGAAUUCCGAGUGUAGCGGGGAAAUGCGUAGAUAUUCGGAGGGAACACCAAUAGCGA